rnacentral:rRNA from 1 species
UACGGGGGGGGCAAGCGUUGUUCGGAAUUACUGGGCGUAAAGGGCUCGUAGGUGGCCAACUAAGUCGGACGUGAAAUCCCUCGGCUUAACCGGGGAACUGCGUCCGAUACUGGUUGGCUUGAGUUUGGGAGAGGGAGAUGGAAUUCCGCGUGUAGCAGUGAAAUGCGUAGAUAUGCGGAGGAACACCGAUGGCGAAGGCAAUCCCCUGGGCCUGCACUGACGCUCAUGCACGAAAGCGUGGGGAGCAAACAGG